GAUGAACGCUGGCGGCGUGCCUAAUACAUGCAAGUCGAGCGAACGGACGAGAAGCUUGCUUCUCUGAUGUUAGCGGCGGACGGGAGAGUAACACGUGGAUAACCUACCUAUAAGACUGGUAUAACUUCGGGAAACCGGAGCUAAUACCGGAUAAUCUUUUGAACCGCAUGGUUCAAAAGUGAAAGACGGUCUUGCUGUCACUUAUCGAUGGAUCCGCGCUGCAUUAGCUAGUUGGUAAGGUAACGGCUUACCAAGGCAACGAUGCAUAGCCGACCUGAGAGAGUGGUCGGCCACACUGGAAGUGAGACACGGUCCAGAGUCCUACGGGAGGCAGCAGUAGGGAAUCUUCCGCAAUGGGGGAGAGCCUGACGGAGCAAGGCCGCGUGAGUGAUGAAGGUGUUCGGAUCGUAAAGCUCUGUUAUUAGGGGAGAACCUAUGUGUAAGUAACUGUGCACAUCUUGACGGUACCUAAUCAAAAAGCCACGGCUAACUACGUG
rnacentral:rRNA from 1 species